rnacentral:rRNA from 1 species
AGAGGUGGCAAGCGUUGUUCGGAAUUACUGGGCGUAAAGGGCGCGCAGGCGGUUCGUCAAGUCCCGUGUGAAAUCCCCCGGCUCAACUGGGGAACUGCGCAGGAAACUAGCGGGAUUGAGUUCGGGAGAGGAAAGCGGAAUUCCGGGUGUAGCGGUGAAAUGCGCAGAUAUCCGGAGGAACACCAGUGGCGAAGGCGGCUUUCUGGACCGACACUGACGCUGAGGCGCGAAAGCUAGGGGAGCGAACGGGAUUAGAUACCCCGGUAGUCCUAGCCCUAAACGUUGAGCACUGGGUGUAGGGGGUAUGAACCCCCCCCCCCCUGUGCCGAAGCUAACGCAUUAGGUGCUCCGCCUGGGGAGUACGGUCGCAAGGCUG